CGCGCUGUAUGCUAAACUGUAGAGCCACGGCGAGCCAACAUGGAAACCACAGGAACGCAGUUUCUUCACCCUUUGCACCGCAGAAGGGAUAAACCUCACGCACUCCAACCAGCCAACAACGAUUCUUGGUUGGUGUGAUCUGUGUUCUGUUAAGUGUACCACACAAGAAUCAGUGUACAACAGUGUUUUCUCAACGUCUUUCAUAGUGGACCUGCGUCACAAAGCGCUUUAC